rnacentral:rRNA from 1 species
UAUGGUAAUUGGUGCGCCGCCGCGGUCAUACGUAGGGGGCAAGCGUUCUCCGGAUUUACUGGGUGUAACGGGCGCGUAGACGGCAAGGCAAGUCUGAUGUGAAAACCUAGGGCUUAACCCUGGGACUGCAUUGGAAACUGUCUGGCUCGAGUGCCGGAGAGGUAAGCGGAAUUCCUAGUGUAGCGGUGAAAUGCGUAGAUAUUAGGAAGAACACCAGUGGCGAAGGCGGCUUACUGGACGGUAACUGACGUUGAGGCUCGAAAGCGUGGGGAGCAAACAGG